GGUUAAGCGACUAAGCGUACACGGUGGAUGCCCUGGCAGUCAGAGGCGAUGAAGGACGUGCUAAUCUGCGAUAAGCGUCGGUAAGGUGAUAUGAACCGUUAUAACCGGCGAUUUCCGAAUGGGGAAACCCAGUGUGAUUCGUCACACUAUCAUUAACUGAAUCCAUAGGUUAAUGAGGCGAACCGGGGGAACUGAAACAUCUAAGUACCCCGAGGAAAAGAAAUCAACCGAGAUUCCCCCAGUAGCGGCGAGCGAACGGGGAGCAGCCCAGAGCCUGAAUCAGUGUGUGUGUUAGUGGAAGCGUCUGGAAAGGCGCGCGAUACAGGGUGACAGCCCCGUACACAAAAAUGCACAUACUGUGAGCUCGAUGAGUAGGGCGGGACACGUGGUAUCCUGUCUGAAUAUGGGGGGACCAUCCUCCAAGGCUAAAUACUCCUGACUGACCGAUAGUGAACCAGUACCGUGAGGGAAAGGCGAAAAGAACCCCGGCGAGGGGAGUGAAAAAGAACCUGAAACCGUGUACGUACAAGCAGUGGGAGCCUCUUAAUGGGGUGACUGCGUACCUUUUGUAUAAUGGGUCAGCGACUUAUAUUCUGUAGCAAGGUUAACCGAAUAGGGGAGCCGAAGGGAAACCGAGUCUUAACUGGGCGUUAAGUUGCAGGGUAUAGACCCGAAACCCGGUGAUCUAGCCAUGGGCAGGUUGAAGGUUGGGUAACACUAACUGGAGGACCGAACCGACUAAUGUUGAAAAAUUAGCGGAUGACUUGUGGCUGGGGGUGAAAGGCCAAUCAAACCGGGAGAUAGCUGGUUCUCCCCGAAAGCUAUUUAGGUAGCGCCUCGUGAAUUCAUCUCCGGGGGUAGAGCACUGUUUCGGCAAGGGGGUCAUCCCGACUUACCAACCCGAUGCAAACUGCGAAUACCGGAGAAUGUUAUCACGGGAGACACACGGCGGGUGCUAACGUCCGUCGUGAAGAGGGAAACAACCCAGACCGCCAGCUAAGGUCCCAAAGUCAUGGUUAAGUGGGAAACGAUGUGGGAAGGCCCAGACAGCCAGGAUGUUGGCUUAGAAGCAGCCAUCAUUUAAAGAAAGCGUAAUAGCUCACUGGUCGAGUCGGCCUGCGCGGAAGAUGUAACGGGGCUAAACCAUGCACCGAAGCUGCGGCAGCGACACUAUGUGUUGUUGGGUAGGGGAGCGUUCUGUAAGCCUGUGAAGGUGUACUGUGAGGUAUGCUGGAGGUAUCAGAAGUGCGAAUGCUGACAUAAGUAACGAUAAAGCGGGUGAAAAGCCCGCUCGCCGGAAGACCAAGGGUUCCUGUCCAACGUUAAUCGGGGCAGGGUGAGUCGACCCCUAAGGCGAGGCCGAAAGGCGUAGUCGAUGGGAAACAGGUUAAUAUUCCUGUACUUGGUGUUACUGCGAAGGGGGGACGGAGAAGGCUAUGUUGGCCGGGCGACGGUUGUCCCGGUUUAAGCGUGUAGGCUGGUUUUCCAGGCAAAUCCGGAAAAUCAAGGCUGAGGCGUGAUGACGAGGCACUACGGUGCUGAAGCAACAAAUGCCCUGCUUCCAGGAAAAGCCUCUAAGCAUCAGGUAACAUCAAAUCGUACCCCAAACCGACACAGGUGGUCAGGUAGAGAAUACCAAGGCGCUUGAGAGAACUCGGGUGAAGGAACUAGGCAAAAUGGUGCCGUAACUUCGGGAGAAGGCACGCUGAUAUGUAGGUGAAGUCCCUCGCGGAUGGAGCUGAAAUCAGUCGAAGAUACCAGCUGGCUGCAACUGUUUAUUAAAAACACAGCACUGUGCAAACACGAAAGUGGACGUAUACGGUGUGACGCCUGCCCGGUGCCGGAAGGUUAAUUGAUGGGGUUAGCGGUAACGCGAAGCUCUUGAUCGAAGCCCCGGUAAACGGCGGCCGUAACUAUAACGGUCCUAAGGUAGCGAAAUUCCUUGUCGGGUAAGUUCCGACCUGCACGAAUGGCGUAAUGAUGGCCAGGCUGUCUCCACCCGAGACUCAGUGAAAUUGAACUCGCUGUGAAGAUGCAGUGUACCCGCGGCAAGACGGAAAGACCCCGUGAACCUUUACUAUAGCUUGACACUGAACAUUGAGCCUUGAUGUGUAGGAUAGGUGGGAGGCUUUGAAGUGUGGACGCCAGUCUGCAUGGAGCCGGCCUUGAAAUACCACCCUUUAAUGUUUGAUGUUCUAACGUUGGCCCCUGAUCGGGGUUGCGGACAGUGUCUGGUGGGUAGUUUGACUGGGGCGGUCUCCUCCUAAAGAGUAACGGAGGAGCACGAAGGUUGGCUAAUCCUGGUCGGACAUCAGGAGGUUAGUGCAAUGGCAUAAGCCAGCUUGACUGCGAGCGUGACGGCGCGAGCAGGUGCGAAAGCAGGUCAUAGUGAUCCGGUGGUUCUGAAUGGAAGGGCCAUCGCUCAACGGAUAAAAGGUACUCCGGGGAUAACAGGCUGAUACCGCCCAAGAGUUCAUAUCGACGGCGGUGUUUGGCACCUCGAUGUCGGCUCAUCACAUCCUGGGGCUGAAGUAGGUCCCAAGGGUAUGGCUGUUCGCCAUUUAAAGUGGUACGCGAGCUGGGUUUAGAACGUCGUGAGACAGUUCGGUCCCUAUCUGCCGUGGGCGCUGGAGAACUGAGGGGGGCUGCUCCUAGUACGAGAGGACCGGAGUGGACGCAUCACUGGUGUUCGGGUUGUCAUGCCAAUGGCACUGCCCGGUAGCUAAAUGCGGAAGAGAUAAGUGCUGAAAGCAUCUAAGCACGAAACUUGCCCCGAGAUGAGUUCUCCCUGACUCCUUGAGAGUCCUGAAGGAACGUUGAAGACGACGACGUUGAUAGGCCGGGUGUGUAAGCGCAGCGAUGCGUUGAGCUAACCGGUACUAAUGAACCGUGAGGCUUAACCUU
rnacentral:rRNA from 1 species